UUAAAUGGCUGCAGUAUUUUGACUGUACAAAGGUAGCAUAAUAAUUUGAUUUUUAAUUGAAAUCUAGAAUGAAAGAGGUGAUGAAUUAAAAUCUUUAUUUAAAUAAUAAAUUGAAUUUAAACUUAAAGUUAAAAUUCUUUAAUAUUUUUAAGGGACGAGAAGACCCUAUAGAAUUUAAAUUUUUUAUUAUAAUAAAAUUAUAAGAAAAAAAUUUUGUUUGGGAGGAAUGUUAAAUUUAAAAACUUUAAUAAGUUUUAAACAAUUAUAAUUGGUUUUAAAGAUUUUAUUUUAAAUUUUAGAUUAAAUUACCUUAGGGAUAACAGCAUAA
rnacentral:rRNA from 1 species